CGGCCUUGACAUACUAAGAACUUCCAGAGAUGGAUUGGUGCCUUCGGGAACUUAGAUACAGGUGCUGCAUGGCUGUCGUCAGCUCGUGUCGUGAGAUGUUGGGUUAAGUCCCGCAACGAGCGCAACCCUUUUCCUUAUUUGCCAGCGGGUCAUGCCGGGAACUUUAAGGAUACUGCCAGUGACAAACUGGAGGAAGGCGGGGACGACGUCAAGUCAUCAUGGCCCUUACGGCCAGGGCUACACACGUGCUACAAUGGUCGGUACAAAGGGUUGCUACCUCGCGAGAGGAUGCUAAUCUCAAAAAGCCGAUCGUAGUCCGGAUCGCAGUCUGCAACUCGACUGCGUGAAGUCGGAAUCGCUAGUAAUCGCGGAUCAGAAUGCCGCGGUGAAUACGUUCCCGGGCCUUGUACACACCGCCCGUCACACCAUGGGAGUUUGUUGCACCAGAAGUAGGUAGUCUAACCGCAAGGAGGACGCUUACCACGGUGUGGCCGAUGACUGGGGUGAAGUCGUAACAAGGUAGGCGUAGAUGA
rnacentral:rRNA from 1 species